UACGUAGGGGGGCAAGCGUUUGUCCGGAUUUAUUGGGCGUAAAGAGCGUGUAGGCGGCUUUACAGGUCCGUUGUGAAAACUCGAGGCUCAACCUCGAGACGCCGGUGGAAACCGUAAGGCUAGAGUCCGGAAGAGGAGAGUGGAAUUCCUGGUGUAGCGGUGAAAUGCGUAGAUAUCUGGAGGAACACCGGUGGCGAAGGCGGCAUUCUGGACCGACAUUGACGCUGAGGAGCGAAAGCCAGGGGAGCAAACGGG
rnacentral:rRNA from 1 species